AUCAUUUCAAUACACUCUCAGACAAAAGCUGUCACUGAGGCAGUACCUUUUCAAAACUUUAGGUACAAAGGUGUGCCUUUUGAAAAGGUACCGCCCCAGUGACAGCUUUUGUACCUUUUUUUUCUGAGAGUGUAGGAAUAUGUGCUAUAACUUCACUAAACACGUGGUCAGAUUUACCAUUGUUCUGCAAAAUUUCUUAUAUGUAUGAUCAGGAAUUUGGGGUAAGGGUGAAACAUUUCCCUAAGCAGACUGACAGACUAACAUUUUGUAUGGAAUGUGUAAACAGACAAAAUGUCAGUCUAUCAAUUUUGAGGCUCAGAGCUAAAUGUUGCAUAAUCCUAAUGUACACGAUAAUAGCUGGAAUUGUUUUGUUCUUCCUAGGUUUUUAUUGUUUGGAGGGCAUCUCUCGGAGGCCAAGCUCUCAGUUUCUGUGCCCACAAGGGUAUUACUGUGAGGAAGGCACGGGUGUGCCGCACGGGUCACCUUGCCCUGCUGGAACUGCAGGAGGACAACUGGGUCAGACAAGUAGGGCAGCUUGCAAGAGGUGUGCAGAGGGUCGCUUCUGUCCCGCAGUAGGUUCUGCUGGUCCUGGGUUGCUUUGUGCCCAUGGGAGGUACUGUCCAGCAGGCACACUCAGUGAAAUCUUAUGCCCACAAGGGACCUUCACCCCACAUCAGGGGGCACUGAGUGUAAAGGACUGUUUAAAGUGUCCACCAGGCUUCUAUUGUGCAGAAGGAACCAGUGACCCAAUGCCUUGUCAACCAGGCACCUUUAACCCUGGAGCUGGCAGACUGCAGGCCUUGUGA
ensembl:lncRNA